CCUACGGGAGGCUGCAGUGGGGAAUAUUGGUUAAUGUGCGAAAGCGCGAACCAGCAACGCCGCGUGUGCGAUGAAGGCCUUCGGGUCGUAAAGCACUUUUUGCAGGGAAGAGGAAGGACGGUACCUGCAGAAUAAGUCUCGGCUAACUACGUGCCAGCAGCCGCGGUAAAACGUAGGAGACGAGCGUUAUCCGGAUUUACUGGGCGUAAAGCGCGUGCAGGCGGCAUGGCAAGUUGGAUGUGAAAGCUCCCGGCUUAACUGGGAGAGGUCGUUCAAUACUGCCAGGCUUGAGAGUGGUAGAGGGAAGCGGAAUUCCGGGUGUAGUGGUGAAAUGCGUAGAUAUCCGGAGGAACACCAGUGGCGAAAGCGGCUUCCUGGCCCAUUUCUGACGCUCAGACGCGAAAGCUAGGGUAGCAAACGGGCUUAGAUACCCUGGUAGUC
rnacentral:rRNA from 1 species